rnacentral:misc_RNA from 1 species
GGAUGAAGAACGUAGCGAAAUGCGAUAAGUAAUGUGAAUUGCAGAAUUCAGUGAAUCAUCGAAUCUUUGAACGCACCUUGCGCUCCUUGGUAUUCCUUGGAGCAUGCCUGUUUGAGUAUCAUGAGCAAAUCUCAAAGUCGAUCCUUUUGUUAAUUCAAUUGGUUUGCUUUGGACUUGGAGGCCUUGCAGAUUUCACCGUCUGCUCCUCUUAAAUGCAUUAGCUGGAUCUCAGUAUUAUGCUUGGUUCCACUCGGCGUGAUAAGUAUCACUCGCUGAGGACACUGUAAAAGGUGGCCAGGAAAAUACUGAUCGAACCGCUUCUAACGGUCUAUUAACUUAGACAAUUACCCUUAAGUUUGAUCUCAAAUCAGGUAGGACUACCCGCUGAACUUAAGCAUAUCAAUAAGCGGAGGA